AGGAAUGUACCUUAGAGAGGGGGACAACUUGGGGAAACUCAAGCUAAUACCGCAUACGCUCUUCGGAGUAAAGCUGGGGACCUUCGGGCCUGGCGCUUUAAGAACAGCCUGCGUCCGAUUAGCUAGUUGGUGGGGUAAAGGCCUACCAAGGCGACGAUCGGUAGCUGGUCUGAGAGGAUGGUCAGCCACACUGGGACUGAGACACGGCCCAGACUCUUACGGGAGGCAGCAGUGGGGAAUAUUGGACAAUGGGGGCAACCCUGAUCCAGCAAUGCCGCGUGUGUGAAGAAGGCCUGAGGGUUGUAAAGCACUUUCAGUGGGGAGGAGGGUUAUUAGGUUAAGAGCCAGAUAACUGGACGUUACCCACAGAAGAAGCACCGGCUAACUCCGUGCCAGCAGCCGCGGUAAUACGGAGGGUGCGAGCGUUAAUCGGAAUUACUGGGCGUAAAGGGUGCGUAGGUGGUUUAACAAGUUAUCUGUGAAAGUCCUGGGCUCAACCUAGGGAGGCCAGAUAAGACUGUUAGACUAGAGUAUAGGAGAGGGCAGUGGAAUUUCCGGU
rnacentral:rRNA from 1 species